rnacentral:tRNA from 1 species
GGGCCCGUAGCUUAGUGGUAGAGCGCUCGACCGAUAAAAUCGGGGCGAAGCUGAUAGCCACUGGGCAGAUACCGGGAGGUCGUGGGUUCGAUACCCACCGGGCCCA